rnacentral:ncRNA from 1 species
GUACAAACUGAGCAGGCGAUGGGCCUUGUGUUUGAGGCCUGUGGGGCCGGGCCGUUUUUGGCAGCGGAUGUGCGCAUCUGCGGGACAGU